GAUGAACGCUAGCGGGAGGCCUAACACAUGCAAGUCGAACGGGAUUGAGAGCUUGCUCUCAUGAGAGUGGCGCACGGGUGAGUAACGCGUAUGCAACCUGCCUUUAACAGAGGGAUAGCCCAUAGAAAUGUGGAUUAAUACCUCAUAGUUCUGAGAGAUCGCAUGAUUUUUCAGAUAAAGCUCCGGCGGUUAAAGAUGGGCAUGCGUGACAUUAGCUAGUUGGUGAGGUAACGUCUCACCAAGGCGACGAUGUCUAGGGGUUCUGAGAGGAUGAUCCCCCACACUGGUACUGCGACACGGACCAGACUCCUACGGGAGGCAGCAGUGAUGAAUAUUGGUCAAUGGGCGCAAGCCUGAACCAGCCAUCCCGCGUGCAGGAUGACGGCCCUAUGGGUUGUAAACUGCUUUUAUACACCAAGAAAAAUCCGAACGUGUUCGGACCCGACGGUAGUGUAUGAAUAAGCAUCGGCUAACUCCGUGCCAGCCGCCGCGGUAACAC
rnacentral:rRNA from 1 species